rnacentral:rRNA from 1 species
UACGUAGGUGGCAAGCGUUGUCCGGAAUACUGGGCGUAAAGCGUGCGCAGGCGGUUUUGUAAGUCUGUCGUGAAAGCCCCGGGCUCAACCUGGGAAUUGCGAUGGAGACUGCAAGGCUUGAAUCUGGCAGAGGGGGGUAGAAUUCCACGUGUAGCAGUGAAAUGCGUAGAGAUGUGGAGGAACACCGAUGGCGAAGGCAGCCCCCUGGGUCAAGAUUGACGCUCAUGCACGAAAGCGUGGGGAGCAAACAGG